rnacentral:rRNA from 1 species
UACGAAGGGGGCUAGCGUUGCUCGGAAUCACUGGGCGUAAAGCGCACGUAGGCGGACUCUUAAGUCAGGGGUGAAAUCCUGGAGCUCAACUCCAGAACUGCCUUUGAUACUGGGAGUCUUGAGUUCGGGAGAGGUGAGUGGAACUCCGAGUGUAGAGGUGAAACUCGUAGAUAUUCGCAAGAACACCAGUGGCGAAGGCGGCUCACUGGCCCGGUACUGACGCUGAGGUGCGAAAGCGUGGGGAGCAAACAGG